UCUCAAUAUCUUAUCCAGGUGGACAUC
rnacentral:piRNA from 1 species